CCCUAUUAUUGGGAUAAAAUAAAAUUAGAGGGAGUAAGGUAUUUACUGAAAACAAUUCAGGGUGGCGGUUUUCUUUAUUCUCAGAUAAAUGUGUUUUUUAAAAACGAAAUUGCACGAACAUCUUUCUUACUUUUGAAAAUUCAUCCUGUACACCGCCGUCUGAAGGGUCAAAUUAGAAAAUUAACUCUUUUUCUUUUUCAGAAAUAAGUCAGGUAAGGUGCAGAUCAUAGGUAAGAGAAAAUGCAUUUCUUUAAAAAAAUUCAAGAGGGAGAUUGAAAAAAAUCCUCAAGAGGAAUUUGAUAGUAAGAUUUUUUAAUCAUAAAAACCUGAAUUAAUAACAAGAAAAUGUACACAUCGCCC
rnacentral:rRNA from 1 species